rnacentral:rRNA from 1 species
GAUGAACGCUGGCGGUAUGCUUAACACAUGCAAGUCGAACGGUCACUUCGGUGAUAGUGGCGGACGGGUGAGUAACGCGUGAGAAUCUGUCUUCAGGUCGGGGACAACAGUUAGAAAUGACUGCUAAUACCGGAUGUGCCUUUGGGUGAAAGAUUUAUUGCCUGAAAAAGAGCUCGCGUCAGAUUAGCUAGUAGGUGGUGUAAGAGACUACCUAGGCUCCGAACUGUAGCUGGUCUGAGAGGACGAUCAGCCACACUGGAACUGAGACACGGUCCAGACUCCUACGGGAGGCAGCAGUGGGGAAUUUUACGCAAUGGGCGAAAGCCUGACGGAGCAAUACCGCGUGAGGGACGAAGGCGUUUGGGUCGUAAACCUCUUUUCGCAAGGAAGAUGAUGACGGUACUUGAGGAAUAAGCAUCGGCUAACUCUGUG